CCCGUGAAUUCUUCAACGGCCGCGAUUAAACGUGCAAAGGUAGCAUAAUCAAUCGUCCUUUAAUUGUGGACCAGAAUGAAUGGAUAAAUAAAAAUUAAACUAUGUAAUGUUUACAAAUAAAACUUUACCUUUAGAUGAAAAGGUCUAAAUUUAAAUAAAAGACCAGAAGACCCUAUAGAGCUUUUUCUUAAAUCAACUCUACAGUUGAAAAUAAGAUUUGGUUGGGGCAACCUGGGAAUUACCUUCCUUUACUACAAUGAAUUAUAUUUUACUCCUUAAAUAAAUUUAUAUAAAGCUACCUUAGGGAUAACAGGCUAAUCCUAUUUUAUAGUCCACAUACACAAUAGGGUUUGGCACCUCGAUGUUGGCUUGAGAUCACUUUAAAAUGAAGACGUUUUAAAUAGUAGGCUUGUUCAGCCUUAAAAAUCUCACGUGAUCUGAGUCCAGACCGGA
rnacentral:rRNA from 1 species